rnacentral:rRNA from 1 species
AGUGAACGCUGGCGGUAGGCCUAACACAUGCAAGUCGAACGGCAGCACAGUAAGAGCUUGCUCUUACGGGUGGCGAGUGGCGGACGGGUGAGGAAUACAUCGGAAUCUACUUUUUCGUGGGGGAUAACGUAGGGAAACUUACGCUAAUACCGCAUACGACCUACGGGUGAAAGCAGGGGAUCUUCGGACCUUGCGCGAUUGAAUGAGCCGAUGUCGGAUUAGCUAGUUGGCGGGGUAAAGGCCCAUCAAGGCGACGAUCCGUAGCUGGUCUGAGAGGACGAUCAGCCACACUGGAACUGAGACACGGUCCAGACUCCUACGGGAGGCAGCAGUGGGGAAUAUUGGACAAUGGGCGCAAGCCUGAUCCAGCCAUACCGCGUGGGUGAAGAAGGCCUUCGGGUUGUAAAGCCCUUUUGUUGGGAAAGAAAAGCAGCAGGUUAAUACCCCGCUGUUCUGACGGUACCCAAAGAAUAAGCACCGGCUAACUUCGUG